UUACAGAGUGAGGGCUAAAAGAGAGAGAGCCAGAUGGAAGCCACUGGAACGGACUCUACCUUUGAAAAUCACAAACCAAAGGCAACACCACAUCCCUGAAGAAACUGCAGGAAUUAGUGCCAUCAUCAAGGACUCAAAAUAAGAUACAAGGGUGGUGAUUUUGUCCAACUCUCCAAUUUUGCCUGUGUGGAAAAUAGAUGAGUAUUAAAGACAGAAAGAAAAAUGUUUGCUGACCCCUUGUGGGGCUUUAAAGAACAUGUUUCUAUUUCUGCCUUGUGAGGGCUUUCUUAGCAGUUUUUGCUGAAACCUGGAACCUGGGCUGAAAGCAGGGUUGGUUCCUUCAGAGGCUCGGACCGAGAAUGUGCCGCAGACCUUUCUCCUGGCUUCCUGUGGCUUGCUGGCAAUCUUCGGCAGCAACUCUGCCUUCAACCUCACACGGAAGAAGGCCGCUGUGUUCUACUCUGCCUGGUCUCUUACCCCGAGUCCCAGAGAGCCCACAGACCUAACAAGGAUUUCAGGUUGAACAACAGAUCGUAGGAGAAGGAAAACCAAGACAAACAGGAAAGUAAAACCUUGGAAUUGAGCACUGUACGUGAUGACUGAGGUCACAGCAGUUCUUUACUACUGUAUCUGCGGUACACAGAAGACAUUUAAUAAACAUUUGUUAAAAGAAUAAAUUGCAAGAAAACAACUGCCACUUUUUUACUAGUUGUUGAAAAUGCCUUUUCAGUUUAAUUUUUUUUUUUUUUAAUGUUUUUAUUUAUUUUUGAGACAGAGAGAGACAGAGCAUGAGCAUGGGAGGGGCAGAGAGAGAGGGAGACACAGAAUCCGAAGCAGGCUCCAGGCUCAAAGC